GAGAAACAAGACACGACAUAAGAUCUGAACAGUAUCCUGCCAUACAAGCAAAAGCGCUAAUAGAGAAGAGGGCUUCUCCUAAAUAUUUAGAAAAGAUACUUCUAACUUCAAAAAGUACUACUGGCGAGUGUCCAGCAAGGCUGGGGGAGGAUUUUGCAGGCUGCUGGAGGCCGGGCGGGGUGGCUGACUCCGUCCGUGGCCCCACCGACAGUUCCGUGCUGCAAAGGGCUCUGCAUUUGUCUAGAGUCUUGUCUCCUCCGGUCCGCAGUGGAAACGCCUGUCCCUGAAGUCACCGUUUUCCAGACACCUGAGAGUCCGGUGCAGAAGAAAGGAAUAAACGGUGAUUGACAAGAUACUGGGAAUCUGGCCGAUUUUCUUCUUCUCUAACGAAGUCACGAGUCUGAGUCACCGUCAUCUCUUGCCUGGACCCGUAUGGUGGCUUCUCUGUGGUCCCCGGAUGUCCACCCUUUCCCCUCUGCACGAUGGCCAGAGGUCCCCAGCCAGGCCAUGAGCCCCUUCGGGAUGUGGCCUUGGGCUGGCCCUCUGGACUCAUUCCCACCCCACCGCCACACCUGGGGACCCUGCCGCGCCCGCCCAGGCCUCCCUGCUGCCUCCUGAACACACCCGACAGGUGCCCACUCCCCGUACUGUUCCUUCUGCCCCAACACCCUCCCAGAACUCGGUGAGGGUCCCUCCCUCCCUCCCUCCCCAUUUCUGCCUGGAAGUCACUUCCAGAGGGGGGCUUCACUGAGGGCGCUUUCUAAACCAGCGCCUCCCUGACCUUCUGCUCUCUUACCCCAACUUUUUCCUUCCCCCCUCGAUAUUUUAUUCUCCUUUCUUUACAUAUCUAUCGAGGUAGAGCGAGUAGGUGCCCUGAGUGUGGAAGCUCCCUACGGUCUUUGCCGCCUGCUUUGCUGCCGCCUGGCACGGGGGGCAGGUCCCGGGACUCCAGCAGGGGCUCCGUGGGUGUUUGAUGAGUGAGCGGAUGAUUCCAGAUCUGGAAGGUGACGACGCAUCAUCUCUGGCUGCCCGCUUGGCCUUCCUGCCUGAGCACAGUCACCAAGUUCUCCAGAGUCUUCCCUGUGCUAGUUUGGCAAACAUUUAUGGACGCAAACUGCCUCACAGUGUGUGUAUCGCUGAGCCACACGCUUCCCACAACAGCCGUGCCGAGUGACGUAAUGAGCGAGUGGGGCAGGAACGGCGUGAACCCCACAGCACCAGGCCAGCGCCACCCGCCUCCCAGGCCCACUGCUGCGGUGACACUCGUGAACGUUCCUCUGCUUCAAACAGGAGCCUGUGCCUGAUCGCCUGCUUCCAAACGCUCCCUGGAUAAUGUAUUCCGAGCCCCGCUGCCCACCUCAUGUUCCUAAAGCACUGCCGUAAUCAUGUUCUUUCCCCACUCAACAACUGGGACCGCCCUCCAGCGUGCGACCAAACAGCAUGCAUGUUCCCUGGCUUAGAGCAAAGACCCUCCCGGCCUGGCGCCGGCUGCGUUUUGACUGCCUGCCCGGCUUCCACCACCACAGCUCUUGAUUUUAAAGCCAGCCCUCCUAGCAAGCGGAAGCCGCGAUGCUGCUGGUGCUCCCACUCCUGGGGGACCUUCUCUCUUCUCUCUGUGUGUUCAUAGCUUCAGUUCUUUCUCUUGAAGGGGCAUUUUCGUACCCCCCCAUUCCACCUCCACUGAAAGGAGGAAGGGAGGAAAAAGAUGCAAGGAAGGGUGUCAGCAUCUCUCUUCUCUUUGUCCACUCCGAGUUGGAAGGCAGGGAAAUCUGAUCUCCGUUUGUCUGAGCUUCUCUGACUGUGCAUAGACCCCUUCAAAGGAGGCCGCGUGGUCCUCUCUCUGGGGUCGGCCUGCCUGUAAUAAGCGUGCGUUCACGGCCCCUGCCUGCCAACGGUGGGGUUCCAAAGGUGGGUUUAUUGCCUUGCUGAGCCGGUAGUGGGGGGAAGUCGUGGGAAACCUACAGGAUAAGCCGCAUUCUCCAACCCAGCUUUUCUGGAUUGUGAGGCUGAUGUUCUGGCCUCCAUGCACCUGAGUCUAGGUCUGAAUUAGUUCUGAACUCUGAAGAGAAGGAGCGAUUAAUGAUCACCGCCCCCCCUUAAACUCAAAAUCACCCAGAUAGCCCUCUUUUUCCCACAAACUGCUUGACAGUACUGAUGGUUAUAACGUCCAUCCAGGUCUGUCACCUCGUAUCAAAAGCAUAAAGAGAGAAGAGUCACUCUUCUACCCUGUCACCCUUCCUCCGUUCCUUUAGACUUCAGAUCCACGGGUCAGUGUUUAUGUGCAUGGAGGUCAUAAAGGGCUAAUGAAUGUGACACCAAGAAAAAAAAUUAAAAAAAUA